UAGCUAGUUGGUGAGGUAAAGGCUUACCAAGGCACGAUCUGUAGCGGGUCUGAGAGGAUGAUCCGCCACACUGGAACUGAGACACGGUCCAGACUCCUACGGGAGGCAGCAGUGGGGAAUUUUGGACAAUGGGGGCAACCCUGAUCCAGCCAUGCCGCGUGAGUGAAGAAGGCCUUCGGGUUGUAAAGCUCUUUCGGCCGGGAAGAAAUCGCAUGGGCCAAUACCCUGUGUGGAUGACGGUACCGGAAUAAGAAGCACCGGCUAACUACGUGCCAGCAGCCGCGGUAAUACGUAGGGUGCGAGCGUUAAUCGGAAUUACUGGGCGUAAAGCGUGCGCAGGCGGUUUUGUAAGACAGGCGUGAAAUCCCCGGGCUUAACCUGGGAACUGCGUUUGUGACUGCAAGGCUAGAGUACGGCAGAGGGGGGUGGAAUUCCACGUGUAGCAGUGAAAUGCGUAGAGAUGUGGAGGAACACCAAUGGCGAAGGCAGCCCCCUGGGUCGAUACUGACGCUCAUGCACGAAAGCGUGGGUAGCAAACAGGAUUAGAUACCCUGGUAGUCCACGCCCUAAACUAUGUCAACUAGGUGUUGGGUGGGUAAAACCAUUUAGUACCGUAGCUAACGCGUGAAGUUGACCGCCUGGGGAGUACGGCCGCAAGGUUAAAACUCAAAGGAAUUGACGGGGACCCGCACAAGCGGUGGAUGAUGUGGAUUAAUUCGAUGCAACGCGAAAAACCUUACCUACCCUUGACAUGCCAGGAACUUGCCAGAGAUGGCUUGGUGCCCGAAAGGGAGCCUGGACACAGGUGCUGCAUGGCUGUCGUCAGCUCGUGUCGUGAGAUGUUGGGUUAAGUCCCGCAACGAGCGCAACCCUUGUCGUUAAUUGCCAUCAUUUAGUUGGGCACUUUAACGAGACUGCCGGUGACAAACCGGAGGAAGGUGGGGAUGACGUCAAGUCCUCAUGGCCCUUAUGGGUAGGGCUUCACACGUCAUACAAUGGUCGGUACAAAGGGUUGCCAAGCCGCGAGGCGGAGCCAAUCCCAGAAAGCCGAUCGUAGUCCGGAUUGCAGGCUGCAACUCGCCUGCAUGAAGUCGGAAUCGCUAGUAAUCGUGGAUCAGCAUGUCACGGUGAAUACGUUCCCGGGUCUUGUACACACCGCCCGUCACACCAUGGGAGCGGGUUCCGCCAGAAGUAGGUAGCCUAACCGCAAGGGGGGCGCUUACCACGGCGGGGUUCGUGACUGGGGUGAAGUCGUAACAAGGUAGCCGUAGGGGACCUGCGGCUG
rnacentral:rRNA from 1 species